CGUUUUAAUCGAUGGGGGGACGCAGUAGGAUAGGCGAAGCGUGCGAUUGGAUUGCACGUCUAAGCAGUAAGGCUGAGUAUUAGGCAAAUCCGGUACUCGUUAAGGCUGAGCUGUGAUGGGGAGAAGACAUUGUGUCUUCGAGUCGUUGAUUUCACACUGCCGAGAAAAGCCUCUAGAUAGAAAAUAGGUGCCCGUACCGCAAACCGACACAGGUAGUCAAGAUGAGAAUUCUAAGGUGAGCGAGCGAACUCUCGUUAAGGAACUCGGCAAAAUGACCCCGUAACUUCGGGAGAAGGGGUGCUCUUUAGGGUUAACGCCCAGAAGAGCCGCAGUGAAUAGGCCCAAGCGACUGUUUAUCAAAAACACAGGUCUCUGCUAAACCGUAAGGUGAUGUAUAGGGGCUGACGCCUGCCCGGUGCUGGAAGGUUAAGAGGAGUGGUUAGCUUCUGCGAAGCUACGAAUCGAAGCCCCAGUAAACGGCGGCCGUAACUAUAACGGUCCUAAGGUAGCGAAAUUCCUUGUCGGGUAAGUUCCGACCCGCACGAAAGGCGUAACGAUUUGGGCACUGUCUCAACGAGAGACUCGGUGAAAUCAUAGUACCUGUGAAGAUGCAGGUUACCCGCGACAGGACGGAAAGACCCCGUGGAGCUUUACUGUAGCCUGAUAUUGAAAUUCGGCACAGCUUGUACAGGAUAGGUAGGAGCCUUUGAAACGUGAGCGCUAGCUUACGUGGAGGCGCUGGUGGGAUACUACCCUAGCUGUGUUGGCUUUCUAACCCGCACUACUUAUCGUGGUGGGAGACAGUGUCAGGCGGGCAGUUUGACUGGGGCGGUCGCCUCCUAAAAGGUAACGGAGGCGCUCAAAGGUUCCCUCAGAAUGGUUGGAAAUCAUUCAUAGAGUGUAAAGGCAU
rnacentral:rRNA from 1 species